rnacentral:rRNA from 1 species
UGAGGAAUAUUGGUCAAUGGACGCAAGUCUGAACCAGCCAAGUAGCGUGCAGGAUGACGGCCCUAUGGGUUGUAAACUGCUUUUAUAUGGGGAUAAAGUGGGGAACGUGUUCCCUUUUGCAGGUACCAUAUGAAUAAGGACCGGCCAAUUCCGUGCCAGCAGCCGCGGUAAUACGGAAGGUUCGGGCGUUAUCCGGAUUUAUUGGGUUUAAAGGGAGCGUAGGCCGUUUGGUAAGCGUGUUGUGAAAUGUAGGAGCUCAACUUCUAGAUUGCAGCGCGAACUGUCAGACUUGAGUGCGCACAACGUGGGCGGAAUUCAUGGUGUAGCGGUGAAAUGCUUAGAUAUCAUGAAGAACUCCGAUUGCGAAGGCAGCUUACGGGAGCGCAACUGACGCUGAAGCUCGAAGGUGCGGGUAUCGAACAGG